CUGCUCUAAAUGUGAAGGUGUCAUAUCCUCCUGGGUUAUCGGAUGAUGCCAGACAUUUUAUUUAUGACCUAUUGCAAAAGGACCCGUGCAGACGUCCUCUAGAAGUAAAUAUAAGAGAACACGAGUAUUUUCAUAAAGUGCCUUGGCCCAAAAUUACUUAGGGUUUUCGGCAGAAUAAACUGAAAAUGAAGUUCGGAUCUUUCUUGAAAUCAAUGUGGAAGCCGGUUAAGAGGUACGUAUUUCUAUGCUCAUUUAAUCAAAGUUCGAUUUAGCUGCGUCACUUUUUCGCCUCUCAAAUUAGCACUAAUUCGAGUGUGGCAGUAAACUAAAAUUCCUCAAAUAUCAACAUAUAGUAUUAAAAUCUACACAUAAAUUUGAGUUCAGAAGUUAUGUGAUUUGACGAGAAUCACAUAAUUUUCCCGUAUUCUUUGGCGCUGUUUGGAAUGCGGUAUAUCGAGAUUUGACGGUUUACUCUUCAUCCAAACAAGUGUUAUAUCCAAUUCAAUAAAGAUAUAAGUUAAAACUGAAAAACUAAAGAUUUUUCAACGGUAAACUAAAUUGAAAAUCUUACUGAUAAACUGAAUAGAAAUUUUACACUCUCACUUUAUAAAUACUAAAAUUUACACAGUCGAUGGUCCAGUUGUACAAACAACACAUAAUUAAAUGACGACAUGAACAAGACAAAACGUAGAAGCAGAUUAAUGCUAUUGCGAUGUUAUAUACAUAACUAGACUUUUAGGGUCUCGAGCAUUACAUAUGUAUUAUUGUCGAUACUCUGUAUUGGUCCAAAUCCGGAAUCCAGUAUUGUAUUUGGAAAGAUCUUAAAUCUUACAAGAAAUCGUAUCGUACGGCUUUACAUUGUAUACAUUUAUAUAAAUGUGCCUUAUGUUUCAAUAUCUAGCUAAGGCCUCAAAUAUCCUAAAAUCGCUAGUGAUUUGAUGAUAU